rnacentral:lncRNA from 1 species
AUGUUUUGGUUGUUACUGAGUGAUGGGAGUGCACCUGGAAAUGGGACCAGGCCACUCACUGGACAAGAGAGGCUGUCUUUACAGCAGGGUAGCAGAGGAUGGAGCACAGACAGGACAGCUGGCCUGAAUUAGGCAAGGAGUUAUUCCAUACCAUGUGACAUCAUGCAGAAGGUCAUAAAGCUGUGAGGAGUUGGCUUAGGGACAGGCUGCUUCUUAGAGAUUGUCUGAGUAUCAGUCGGCUGGUGAUGAGACACUCAGCUGCUAGAUGGAUGUUGGUCAGUCAGCAGUUGUAUUGCUAGCUGGGCAUCAGUUGUUAGGAGGUCUGGAUGCUUCUUCACAUUAACUGCAGAAACUUUUCCUGUAUGAAAAUGUCAGAAAGUGGAAGUGUAUGUAAAAUUAGAAACCGGGAAGUUCCCUUUACUCACGCAAGUUGUUUGGUAAAACCCAGAGGGAAGCCACCAUUUUCUAAGAAAUCAGGAAAACAAAAUAUUCUGAAUAAGUGUUUCAAAACACAUUUCCAUGGUGUAGGACUUUGUGGUAUUUAUUUCUAUUAAGAUUGAAUGUGAAAUCUGAACUUCCAGGUCAACUUCAAUUUAAAGAAAUCCUCCUGUCCAUCACUGGCAAAAAUGCUCCCAA